rnacentral:rRNA from 1 species
CAGCAGCCGCGGCUAAUACGGGGGGAGCAAGCGUUGUUCGGAUUUACUGGGCGUAAAGGGCGCGUAGGCGGUCAGCACAAGUCAGUUGUGAAAUCUCCGAGCUUAACUCGGAAAGGUCAACUGAUACUGUGCGACUAGAGUGCGGAAGGGGCAACUGGAAUUCUUGGUGUAGCGGUGAAGUGCGUAGAUAUCUGGAGGAACACCUGNGGCGAAGGCGGCNUUCUGGACNGNNACUGACACUGANAAACGAAAGCCAGGGGAGCAAACGGGAUUAGAUACCCCGGUAGUCCUGGCCCUAAACGAUGAAUGCUUGGUGCNNNGGGUAUCAAUCCCUGCCGUGNCNGACCUNACCCAUUAAGCAUUCCCCCUGGGGA